GCCCAGCCUCUGCCUCCUCUCCUGCCCCUCCUCCUUUGUCCUGCACCUCCCUGCCUGGAGACCCCGCCCCUUCCACAUACUCCAGAGUUGCAUCCACUGGGCUGUUAGUGGCCUUUGGACUGGAGAAGGACUAGGGCCUCCCUCUGGGGCCCCACACCCAUGCUGGCAAGCAUCAGGAGCAGGGAGAGGCCCAGAACUGUCACUCCCUGGGCACAGUCCCACAGUGUCCUCAACCGGACAGUCCUGUUCUGCCCUUUCUCCUGUGGGGAGGAGCUGGAGGCAGAGAAGAAGGCAGGGCCCAGACCUGGCCAGAGGCAUUGUGCUGCCAGGGACCCAUGUGCCUGCGCAUGGAGCCUACACUCUGUAUGGAGGCUUUGGGUGAGGCUGGGCUGUCUGGGCUGCUCCUCCUUUCCUGCUAAGAAGGACUGGAGGGUAGGAUGGGGGUGGGUGUGCUCACCACAAGACCCCAGGGGUUCCAAAAUGGUUCCUUUGGAAGGGUGAGCCAGCCACAUCUAAUGAGCUAUUUCAGUUCUGCCAUAAUCAAGUCUAGCUUCAGGCUGCCUAAAAUAGCCAGGUAGAGAAGCCAAAUGUCUGCAAGGAUGGUUUGGCUCCUGAGGCCUGGGGUCCAGUGCACACCCAGGUGGGAGUCAGGAGGUAGCCACAACCCCUGCAUAGAGAUUCCAGGCCCCUACCUCAACCCCAAGGCACCAGUACAGGCCUAGCCCCUACUAGGUCCUCAGGCUAACAAAUCCUCCCAAAUCCCCACUCUUACCCAUCUGGUCAGUGCCCAUGUAGCAGGCAUUAAUAAAGCCCCUUUUAGAUUAAGAGCUGUGUGGAGAAUUUCACGGUGCCCCCAGGGAGGGUAAGGAAUGGUCAGAGGUUUAGCUAAGCCUUGCUCUGAACCUGCUACUCAUGGGAGAAAAGGUAUCUCCAGGCCCAGCCUAUGCCUAUGUUGGGAGUCCAGUCAGUAGCCUGGGGAGCUGGGGUGGCCACUUUGCCCCGGACCAUCUAUCUGCUGGGUUACUCAGGACAGACCCCUAAAUCCAGAACCGUCACCUUCCUAAGGCCUCUGCAGUCUAAACGAGGGUGGCUAUUCAGGUCCUGCUCCCAGGAGGAGGAGUGAUGAAAUGUCCUAAAACUGAUUGUAGUUGAUUGUUGCACAUCUCUGUGUCUCUGUGAAUAUACUUAAAUUGAUGAAUUGUAUGGUAUGUGAAUUAUAUCCCAAUCAGGUUAUUUAUUUUUAAAAAAUGUUAAGGGUGCCUGGCUGGCUCAGUUGGAGGGGUGUGUGACUCUUGAUCUUGGGGUUGUGAGUUCGAGCCCCAGGCUGAGUGAAGAGAUUAUUUAAAUAAAAAAUAAAUAAAUACAAAAUAAAUUGAAAUGGAUCUGUCAGGAGGACUCUGGUGACCCCCAGCCAGCCAAAAUCAUUCCAGUGCUAUGGUGGGGUGUUGGAAAGUGGCAGGAUGGGGAGUGAUAUG